rnacentral:rRNA from 1 species
UAGUACUGCGAGUGAAGCGGGAAAAGCUCAAAUUUAAAAUCUGGCAGUCUUUGAUUGUCCGAGUUGUAAUCUAGAGAAGCAUUAUCCGCGCUGGACCGUGUACAAGUCUCCUGGAAUGGAGCGUCAUAGAGGGUGAGAAUCCCGUCUUUGACACGGACUGCCAGGGCUUUGUGAUGUGCUCUCAAAGAGUCGAGUUGUUUGGGAAUGCAGCUCAAAAUGGGUGGUAAAUUCCAUCUAAAGCUAAAUAUUGGCGAGAGACCGAUAGCGAACAAGUACCGUGAGGGAAAGAUGAAAAGAACUUUGGAAAGAGAGUUAAACAGUACGUGAAAUUGCUGAAAGGGAAACGCUUGAAGUCAGUCGCGUUGGCCGGGAAUCAACCUUGCUUUUGCUGGGCGUACUUCCUGGUUAACGGGUCAGCAUCAAUUUUGACCGUUGGAUAAAGUUGCUGGGAAUGUGGCAUCUUCGGAUGUGUUAUAGCCCAGUUUCGCAUACAACGGUUGGGAUUGAGGAACUCAGCACGCCGCAAGGCCGGGUUUUUAACCACGUUCGUGCUUAGGAUGCUGGCAUAAUGGCUUUAAUCGACCCGUCUUGAAACACGGACCAAGGAGUCUAACAUGCCUGCGAGUGUUUGGGUGGAAAACCCGAGCGCGUAAUGAAAGUGAAAGUUGAGAUCCCUGUCGUGGGGAGCAUCGACGCCCGGACUUGAACUUCUGUGACGGAUCCGCGGUAGAGCAUGUAUGUUGGGACCCGAAAGAUGGUGAACUAUGCCUGAAUAGGGUGAAGCCAGAGGAAACUCUGGU